rnacentral:rRNA from 1 species
GGGGUUGUAGCUGGCCUUCACGGGCAUGUGCACACCCCGCUCAUCCACUCUACACCUGUGCACUUACUGUGGGUUUCGAGCGGCCGCUCCCGAGCGGUUUAUCGGGCCUACGUCUAUUACAAACUCUUCAGUAUCAGAAUGUGUAUCGCGAUGUAACGCAUCUAUAUACAACUUUCAGCAACGGAUCUCUUGGCUCUCGCAUCGAUGAAGAACGCAGCGAAAUGCGAUAAGUAAUGUGAAUUGCAGAAUUCAGUGAAUCAUCGAAUCUUUGAACGCACCUUGCGCUCCUUGGUAUUCCGAGGAGCAUGCCUGUUUGAGUGUCGUGUAAUUCUCAACCUAUAAAUCCUUGCGGUUUGUAGGCUUGGACUUGGAGGCUUUGUCGGCUUUACGGUCGGCUCCUCUCAAAUGUAUUAGCUUGAUUCCUUGCGGAUCGGCUCUCGGUGUGAUAAUUGUCUACGCCGUGACCGUGAAGCGUUUGGCGAGCUUCUAACCGUCUCUACGAGACACUUACUUUGACAUCUGACCUCAAAUCAGGUAGGACUACCCGCUGAACUUAAGCAUAUCAAUAAGCGGAGGAAAAGAAACUAACAAGGAUUCCCCUAGUAACUGCGAGUGAAGCGGGAAGAGCUCAAAUUUAAAAUCUGGCGGUCUUUGGCCGUCCGAGUUGUAGUCUGGAGAAGUGCUUUCCGCGCUGGACCGUGUAUAAGUCUCUUGGAACAGAGCGUCAUAGAGGGUGAGAAUCCCGUCUUUGACACGGACUACCAGUGCUUUGUGAUGCGCUCUCAAAGAGUCGAGUUGUUUGGGAAUGCAGCUCAAAAUGGGUGGUAAAU